rnacentral:rRNA from 1 species
AGAGUUUGAUCAUGGCUCAGAGCGAACGCUGGCGGCAGGCCUAACACAUGCAAGUCGAACGAACCCUUCGGGGUUAGUGGCGGACGGGUGAGUAACACGUGGGAACGUGCCCUUUGGUUCGGAAUAACACAGGGAAACUUGUGCUAAUACCGGAUGAGCCCUACGGGGGAAAGAUUUAUCGCCGAAGGAGCGGCCCGCGUCGGAUUAGCUAGUUGGUGGGGUAAAGGCCCACCAAGGCUACGAUCCGUAGCUGGUCUGAGAGGAUGAUCAGCCACACUGGGACUGAGACACGGCCCAGACUCCUACGGGAGGCAGCAGUGGGGAAUCUUGCGCAAUGGGCGAAAGCCUGACGCAGCCAUGCCGCGUGGAUGAUGAAGGUCUUAGGAUUGUAAAAUCCUUUCACCGGGGACGAUAAUGACGGUACCCGGAGAAGAAGCCCCGGCUAACUUCGUGCCAGCAGCCGCGGUAAUACGAAGGGGGCUAGCGUUGCUCGGAAUUACUGGGCGUAAAGGGCGCGUAGGCGGGUCGUCAAGUUGGGGGUGAAAGCCCGGGGCUCAACCUCGGAAUUGCCUUCAAAACUGACGACCUAGAGUUUGGGAGAGGUGUGUGGAACUCCGAGUGUAGAGGUGAAAUUCGUAGAUAUUCGGAAGAACACCAGUGGCGAAGGCGACACACUGGCCCAAUACUGACGCUGAGGCGCGAAAGCGUGGGGAGCAAACAGGAUUAGAUACCCUGGUAGUCCACGCCGUAAACGAUGAGUGCUAGUUGUCGGCAUGCAUGCAUGUCGGUGACGCAGCUAACGCAUUAAGCACUCCGCCUGGGGAGUACGGUCGCAAGAUUAAAACUCAAAGGAAUUGACGG